GGUUUGUUAAUGAAGGACGUGAAUCGAUUCUCAAGACACUUUGGCAUCACUCAGUUGCUAUGACGUGUUGCUCUUUGAAGGCAUUGCUAGUUUUUACAUUUGCAAAUCAAGCAAGACUUGAUCUUCUUGAGACAACUCUGGUAGCACUUCAAGACAUUACUUUGGAGAGGAUUCUUGAUGACCAUGGAAAAAAGACCCUCUUCUCUAAACUCCCACAGAUUAUGCAGCAAGUUAUUGAUAAAGUUCAAGAGAAGACAAAGAGCCAUGCAG